rnacentral:tmRNA from 2 species
UUCGAUCUCGCCGGCCGCAAGGUCGGCUAUGGCGAUAAACGGUCUUCGGAAUAAACCUAUCGGACCCGGGGGCGGUACCCGGCGCCUCCACCGGAACCCAGGGCUUUUGGACGCAUCGGCGGCGUUCGGAUCGUUGGGUUGCGGCGGGGGCGAAAUAGGAUCGACGAGGGCGUAAAGGUUGAUCUUUCGCUCGGCAUGGUUCCGCCGUUAUCGGGCCUUUGCAAUAGUUGCCAACGACAACUUUGCUCCGGUGGCGGUGGCCGCGUAAGCGGUCCCCAAUACCAAAUUAAGUCCUAGCGGGUAGCUCCGCAUAGGCGGGGUUCGGAGGCACCUGGCAACAGAAGCCUCCACUUUAAUUC